GUGUUCACUUCAGCACCAUAUAUACUAAAAUUGGAAUAAUACAGAAGAUUAGCUUGGCCCCUAUGCAAGGAUGACAUUACAAAUUUGUGAAGCAUUCCAUAUUUAA